GACGAACGCUGGCGGCAUGCCUAAUACAUGCAAGUCGAGCGAACAGAUGAAGUGCUUGCACUUCUGACGUUAGCGGCGAACGGGUGAGUAACACGUAAGGAAUCUACCUAUAAGCGGGGGAUAACAUUCGGAAACGGGUGCUAAUACCGCAUAAUAUCUUCUUCCGCAUGGAAGAAGAUUGAAAGACGGCUCUGCUGUCACUUAUAGAUGACCUUGCGGUGCAUUAGUUAGUUGGUGGGGUACCGGCCUACCAAGACGAUGAUGCAUAGCCGGCCUGGGAGGGUGAUCGGCCACAUUGGGACAGAGACACGGCCCAAACUCCUACGGGAGGCAGCAGUGGGGAAGCUUCCGCAAUGGGCGAAAGCCUGACGGAGCAAUGCCGCGUGAGUGAAGAAGGCCUUCGGGUCGUAAAACUCUGUUAUAAGAGAAGAACAAAUUGUAGAGUAACUGCUACAGUCUUGACGGUAUCUUAUCAGAAGGCCACGGCUAACUACGUGCCAGCCGCCGCCGUAA
rnacentral:rRNA from 1 species